rnacentral:lncRNA from 1 species
CCACACUUUAAAGUAGGGCAGCUUCACCUUCAUAGUGAUGCAUGGUUUCCCAGUUAAAGGACUACACAGUUUUCAGCAUGGCGAGCCACCAAACGUUUAUCAUUACUCAAUUUUGAUACAUAUUCAGAGCAGAGAUCAAAAGGAGUCAAAUUAUUUGACGAUGGUGAGAGAUCAUUAGGGUAGACAUAACUAUAAUGUGGAUGUCUUCUAAUCGCACCAUGGCUUUUGUUUUUGUUGCACAUCCUCUGUUUACUGUGGAUAGCAUAGAGAGAUUUUCUACCUUUAGGCAUGCAUUAAAUAAUUAUGUUGGCUGGGGUUGGGGAUUUAGCUCAGUGGUAGAGCACUUGCCUAGGAAGCGCAAGGCCCUGGGUUCGGUCCCCAGCUCCGAAAAAAAG